rnacentral:rRNA from 1 species
UACGUAGGGUGCGAGCGUUGUCCGGAAUUACUGGGCGUAAAGGGCUCGUAGGCGGUUUGUCACGUCGGGAGUGAAAACUCAGGGCUCAACCCUGAGCGUGCUUCCGAUACGGGCAGACUAGAGGUAUGCAGGGGAGAACGGAAUUCCUGGUGUAGCGGUGGAAUGCGCAGAUAUCAGGAGGAACACCGGUGGCGAAGGCGGUUCUCUGGGCAUUACCUGACGCUGAGGAGCGAAAGCAUGGGGAGCGAACAGG